rnacentral:rRNA from 1 species
GACGAACGCUGGCGGCGUGCCUAACACAUGCAAGUCGAACGGAGAAUCAGCAAUGGUUCUUAGUGGCGAACGGGUGAGUAACGCGUAGACAACCUGCCUUCUAGAUGGGGACAACACUGCGAAAGUGGUGCUAAUACCGAAUUUUGUAAUAAGCCUGCAUGGGUUUAAUACUAAAGGUGGCCUCUGACAUAAGCUAUCACUAGAAGAGUGUUCUGCGUCGGAGUAGCUAGUUGGUGACGUAAUGGCUCACCAAGGCGAUGAUCAGUAGCCGGUCUAAGGGGAAGAACGGCCACACUGGGACUGAGGCAAGGGCCAGACGCCUACGGGAGGCAGCAGUGGGGAAGCUUCCGCAAUGGACGAAAGUCCGACGGAGCAACGCCGCGUGAGUGAAGAAGGUUUUCGGAUCGUAAAGCUCUGUCUUUGAGGACGAAUGUGUCUAAUGUGAAUAAUGUUAGAUAAUGACGGUACUCGAGGAGGAAGCCACGGCUAACUACGUGCCAGCCGCCGCAGUAA